GACGAACGCUGGCGGCGUGCUUAACACAUGCGAGUCGAACGGAAAGGCCCUGCUUUUGUGGGGUGCUCGAGUGGCGAACGGGUGAGUAACACGUGAGUAACCUGCCCUUGACUUUGGGAUAACUUCAGGAAACUGGGGCUAAUACCGGAUAGGAGCUCCUGCUGCAUGGUGGGGGUUGGAAAGUUUCGGCGGUUGGGGAUGGACUCGCGGCUUAUCAGCUUGUUGGUGGGGUAGUGGCUUACCAAGGCUGUGACGGGUGGCCGGCCUGGUAGGGUGACCGGCCAGAUUAGGACUGAGAUACGGCACAGACUCCUACGGGAGGCAGCAGUGGAGAAGAGUGCACUAUGGGCGGAAGCCUGAUGCAGCAACGCCGCGUGCGGGAUGACGGCCUUCGGGUUGUAAACCGCUUUCGCCUGUGACGAAGCGUGAGUGACGGUAAUGGGUAAAGAAGCACCGGCUAACUACGUG
rnacentral:rRNA from 1 species